CAUGCGAGUCAGCGUACGUGGCGACGGGUGAGUAUGGCAGGCACCAUUGCCCAAAGCCUGGAAAAAUCCCAGAUAAAAAGAUUUAUCGCUUUUGGAUACGUCUGCACAGGAUUAGAUUUUCGUAGAGAGUCGACGAUUCUUAGCUGAUCUGGGAAGGAUGCACAGCCACAUUGGAACUGAGACAAGGUCCAAGCUCCAGUAGGAGGCAGCAGUGAGGAAUAUUGGGCAAUGGGCGAAAGCCUGACCCAACGACACCCCGUGAUUGAAGAAGGUCAAGGCCGUAAAGAUACGAGGUUGGUCAAGAUUGCGACGGUAACCGGCCAAAAAGCCCCGGCUAACUCCGUGCCAGCAGCCGCGGUAAUACGGGGGGGGGCAAGUGUUAUUCGCAAUGACUGGGCGUAAAGGGGUGCGGUAGGGCUGCUUGUCCCCUCCCCUCAUUUGCGAAAGGCUAGGGCUCAACCCUGGGUGUGUCUUUUGGCAUUGCAAGCUUUUGGGUUUGGGCAGGGGUCGGUGGAAUUCUCAGAAGAGGGGGUACCAUCGCAGGGGACACUGAGGCGAACACCGAGGGGCGAAGGCGACCGACUGGACCAAACUGACGCUAAAGCACGGAAGCCGCAGUACAAAUAGGAUUUAGAUCCCCUAGUAGUCUGCCGCCGAUCAACGAUGGGUAUUGCAA
rnacentral:rRNA from 1 species